CAGGAACACCAGGGAAACAAAUAGAGGCCCUCCCUAAGUAUGGCCACUGAGCAUAGGUACAGCAGAGAGCAGAGAGGAGCAGAGCAGGGGAGCCUGCAUUUUCACCUAGAGGCCAUAAAAUCAACCAAACCAGGCAAUCAGUACAACAAAGAAGUGAACAAAAACAUCAAGACAGACGUUUCUCACCUGCAUCAGUUCUGUGUUUUCUGCAUUUGGAAUUUCCCAAACUGUUACUGUUUGUUAAUUGGAUAGUCUUUACUUAUUCAAGUUUUAUCAGUUUUUUUUAAUUGUACUCCCUUAAAUUGUUUGCUCUCAGACUAGAGCUAAAUCUAGAUGAAAAUGUGUUGUCACCAAACAGUGAAAUAAAAUAAAACACAA
rnacentral:lncRNA from 1 species